rnacentral:rRNA from 1 species
AAUUAAUAAAUUAUUAUAUAUUUUUAUUUUAAUAAAAAUAAUUUUAUUAAUAAAUUUUUUUAGUAUAGUUUAUAGAAAUAAUUAUUGGUAUUAUAGUAUAUUAGUAUUGUAAAAGAAAUUUUAAUUAAAAUUUUAUUUUUAAAAAAGUAGAAUUAAUUUUUUGUACCUUGUGUAUCAGGGUUUAUUAAAUAAUUGUAAUAAAACUUUAUUUUCCCGAUUUUAAGAGAGAGAAUAAGAUAUGUUUUUUAUUGUUGAAAAAAUAUUUACAAUUUCUUAUUAGUAAUGAAAAGUUAUUCGGUCUUAAAUAUAUCUGGUUUAUUUAGAAAUGAAUUUAAUUCAGUUAAUUUAAUUUUUUUUAGUUAAUUUAAUUUAGUUAAAAAAUAAAAUUAAUAAUAUUUAAAGGGAUUAGCUUUUAAUUAAAUUUCUAUAAUAAUAUUAUUUUUGUAAAAAUUUAUAGGUUUAGAAAUAUUUUUUAUUUAUAAUUUGUUAUAAUUAGUUUUUAUUUGUUUCUUAUUUUAUAUAUAUUUAGAAUUUUAUAAAUAAAUUUUAUUUAAUUUUUUAAUAUUAGAUAUAAUGAUAUAAUUAGUAUAUUGUAAAAUGUUUAGAUUAUUUAAUAAUAAAGAUUAUAUAAAGGAAUUCGGCAAAAUUUUUAUUCGCCUGUUUAACAAAAACAUGUCCUUUAGAAAAUUGAAUUUAAGGUCUAACCUGCCCACUGAAAUUUUUAAAUGGCCGCAGUAUUUUGACUGUGCAAAGGUAGCAUAAUCAUUAGUUUUUUAAUUAAAAGCUUGUAUGAAUGGUUGGACGAGAUAAAAUCUGUCUCUAUAUAAUUAAUAGAAUUUAAUUUUUAAGUUAAAAAGCUUAAAUAAUAUUAAAAGACGAGAAGACCCUAUAGAUCUUUAUAAUGAAUUUUAUAGUUUUAUUAAAGAUUUUUUUAUUUAUUAUAAUUUUUAUUAUUUUAUUGGGGUAAUAAAAAGAUUAAAAAAAUUCUUUUUAAUUAUUGACAAAAAUUAUUGAUUAUUUGAUCCUUGUUAUUGAUUAUAAGAUUAAGUUACCUUAGGGAUAACAGCGUAAUUUUUUUAGAGAGUUCAUAUCGAUAAAAAAGUUUGCGACCUCGAUGUUGGAUUAAAAAUUAUUUUGGGUGUAGAAGUUCAAAUUUUUGGUCUGUUCGACCAUUAAAUUUUUACAUGAUCUGAGUUCAGACCGGUGUAAGCCAGGUCGGUUUCUAUCUUUAUUUAAUUAAUAUAUUUUAGUACGAAAGGACCAAAUAUAAAAUAUAUAUAUAUUUAUAUUUUGAUUAAUAUU